GUUUUUACUUUCGGGUCAGUGCCCCUUAAAAGAGAAGUUUACUCUUGAUGCAAAGGAUUUCAAGCUAUAUGAGGAAAUUGUUGAAUGAGUUAGUGCCUCAUGUAUUGAGCUCUUUGUGUUCCUUUGAACUAGACGGUUGCCAGCAGGGUUCUUGAUUUGAAAAAAAGUUGUAACAAUGACCUGGUCACUGAAAACCAAAAACCUGGUUCUUAGUGAAGAAAUGAUUUCUACUUGCGUGUUGAAGUAAGUGUGUGCUGCAGCAAGUUACAGACAACUGUAUUUGGUUGUGAAGGAACAUAUCGGCUUGUGUUCAGGUUAUAAAACAAUGAUAAACCUUUUUUCUAUUACAAUUAGAUAGAUCCAUGGUUGUGCAAUCAUUUAAAGAAAAAUAAUAAUCGGAAGAAAUUUGAUUUUAUGUAUUUUUUAUUUCAUUUUAUUUUAUUUUUGUGUUUGAAAUUGUGAGAUUGGAAUCUUGGCAAGUGCUACAAAAUGGGAAUUGCAAAAGGAGUUCCAACUUCUGAAAUAAACAGAGUUGUUUAACCCAUUUACUCAACAAUGGUAAACGGGUAUAUGUCGGCGGAAGUGGCGAAUGCGAUUGAGAAGAAUAAGAAGAAGCUUGUGGAAGAAGCGGGUGGCGGAUUGAAGGACGGGAGGAUGCUGCUGCUGCUGUUCCGACUGAGUAAAUUUUUAUACAUGUGUUCGGAAUGAAGGAAGAACGAUUGAAGAAAAAGUGGGAAGAGGCGUCAGAUGUAUUAUCAUGGGUUUCAAAAAGCCGAGACAUUAUAAUAUAUUACAUUUUACCUACACAGCUACAAAAUUGACAUAAUGAUCAAAAAGCCACAAGGAGCAGCACUUUAUAGCUUAUUGAUACAGCUGGCGCAUUCUGUGGUUAGUUAUGGUGUAAAAAGCAACGUGCGUCAAAAAAAGAUAAUAGUCGCGAUAACACGCGGGCAUCAUCACUGCGUUGCUGCGCGGAUGUGGACCACAUAAAUACCACCAUGAAGAUACUUUGCCUCAUCCAAUAGUAAUAAUUGACAUUCAAUUGGCAACUUCUAUGGAAUUAUCAAUCAUGCAAUGAUGAUGGAGAUUUGAAGCACGGCCGAUUUUUUAGUGUGGGACUAAAUUGAACUCUUGACGUGUGGAGGCAACAAAAGUCAAGGUGAAUAAAUUAUGGACAAUCGAGGACUGAAUUCUAUUUUGGCUACAAAGAUUAAGUGGUUGAAUUCUAUCAACUUACUGGUACUUAUUAUAUUUUGGCUACAGAGAUUAAGUGGCUGAAUUCUAUCAAGGCAAACUUAGUGGUACUUAUUAAUAUGUCAAAAGUUUGUUUUCUUUAAUUCAAGUUUUUAAGUUGUUGAUGGAUUAUCUGUUCUCAUUGCAUUUCAUUUGUUUAUGAACCGUAUAAGAGUCAUAUUUAGAAAGUGAUAAUGAGUCGGGAUACCCGCCGCAACGCGCGGGCAUUAGUAGGUUUUAGCUUUGUUUUUUUUUUUUUUUUGUUAUGUGUGUAUUUUUGUGUUUUUUGGGGUUGUGUCCUCGGUCUUGGCUUCUGGCUAAGAUGUAGUUUGUGAGGUUUUGUAGUAAAUUGAUCUCCUUUGCUUGGUCACAAAAAAGAUAUGUUAUUAAAUAUUAUGUUUGUUAUUAUUAAUUAAUUAAUUCUAAAUGUAUAUAUUAUAUUUGUUGUAAACACUAAACAGUUGGUGAAUAGGGAUCAACGAGUAUGUGUUUUGGCAUGUGUUAAUUUUUUGGGAAAUGGGCAAAUAGAUGAGGAAGAAUAAAAAAUUUGAAUGAGCAAAUAAAUGAGUAAAGUAAAUUAUGAUUAGUUGGUUACAAAAACAAUACUAUCACGUUAAAGAUCGAGAUAUUUUUUUGAUCAAUACUACUUAUUUGAAAAUAAUCAACUACAUUAAAAAAAUAUCAGGCUUACUCGCACAAACCAAUGAAGACAUUUAAUAUAACUUUUAUUACGCCUUCAUAACCCGUAAUUAAGUUUAUGAAAAGUUUAUAACUUUUUAUAGCCAAGAUAUUUAAGAUGUGGUACAUUUUGUAUGAUUUUAAUUAUGUAUUAAUCAUAAAUAGUUUUUGAUAUAAAUAACUUCACGAGCCCGGGAAGCAAUCCCGGUUGAUAACCUGGUAUUAUAUAUGUAUAUGUUUAACGCCAAAGUAAAUUUCAAAAAGGAAACUUUUCAUAGAAAAUCCCAAAAUUACAAUAAUUGCCCUAAACGAGUCCUAAACAAAUAAACUUGUCCACGCAGGGACUAAAGAGAUAAAUAUGUACUAGAGAAAUGAAAUAAAACAAAAAGAGUUUCUUCUUCAUUUUAUUUCUAAAAGUUUUCUCCUUGGUUCACUGUGUGCGGUACGGAUACUGAAGGUUUUGGUGGGUAGUCGAAAUCUUCCAUAUUAGGACCCUUUGCAAAAGUUGAAUUCAAGGAUUCUAUAGUUAAUGAAUAAUAUGGAUCAUGAAUAGGGUUAGGACUGGUAUAGUCCAAGUUUGAAAUUCCAAGAUUUGGAGGUAAGAAAUGUGGAUCAAUUGGGUCCAUAGGUAUCAUCUUCGGAGUGGGAGCCUCAGGGACUGUUGGUAUGGACUCCUCCGAUGUUGGCUUCUCAUUUGAAGUUUCAAAAGUCUUAGGUACAGAAUCUGAAAUAUGGUUAAUGGUUUCAACUGGUUUGGUUUUG